rnacentral:rRNA from 1 species
UACGUAGGGGGCAAGCGUUGUCCGGAUUUAUUGGGCGUAAAGAGCGUGUAGGCGGCCUGACAAGUCUGCUGUGAAAACUCGAGGCUCAACCUCGAGAUGUCGGCGGAAACUGUCUGGCUAGAGUCCGGAAGAGGAGAGUGGAAUUCCUGGUGUAGCGGUGAAAUGCGCAGAUAUCAGGAAGAACACCUAUGGCGAAGGCAGCUCUCUAGGACGGUACUGACGCUGAGACGCGAAAGCGUGGGGAGCGAACAGG